rnacentral:rRNA from 1 species
GAUGAACGCUGGCGGCGUGCCUAAUACAUGCAAGUCGAGCGAAGCGGGGACGGGUGAGUAACACGUGGAUAACAUCCUAUAAGACUGGGAUAACUUCGGGAAACCGGAGCUAAACCGGAUACUUAUCGAUGGAUCCGCUCUGCAUUAGCUAGUUGGUAAUGUAACGGCUUACCAAGGCAACGAUGCAUAGCCGACCUUCGAGGGUGAUCGGCCACACUGGAACUGAGACCCGGUCCAGACUCCUACGGUAUGCAUCGGUAGUGAAUCUUCCGAAAUGGGGGAAAGCCUGACGGAGAAACGCCGCGUGAGUGAUGAAGGUCUUCGGAUCGUAAAACUCUGUUAUUAGGGAAGCGGUACCUAAUCAGAAAGCCACGGCUAACUACGUGCCAGCAGCCGCGGUAAUAC